rnacentral:lncRNA from 1 species
CGAGGCGACCGGUCGGGGCUUCAGGCUAGUCUACUCCCGGGAUGAUCAUCGGGUUAGCCUGGCAUCCGAGGGCCGAGCCUCGGGAGAUUCCGCUCGUUGUUCGGCCAAGGCUGGCGCAAGCCGAGGCGACCGGUCGGGGCUUCAGGCUAGUCUACUCCCGAGAUGAUCAUCGGGUUAGCCUAGCAUCCGAGGGCCGAGCCUCGGGAGAUUCCGCUCGCUGGUCGUGCGCCUGUCGCUUGCCGUCCGACGGGGUUUCUCCGUGGCCAGCUGCGAUCGUGUUUCUCCUCUUCUCCAAGCGUCGCCUGGGGAACACCAGAAGGGCAUUAAACGCUAAUUGAUGCGUUACCUGGGAAAU